UACGGAGGAUGCGAGCGUUAUCCGGAUUUAUUGGGUUUAAAGGGUGCUCAGGCGGGCCAUUAAGUCGGCGGUGAAAUUUUGCGGCUCAACCGUAAAAGUGCCUUCGAUACUGGUGGUCUUGAGUGUGGAUGAGGUAGGCGGAAUGUGUAGUGUAGCGGUGAAAUGCAUAGAUAUUACACAGAACACCGAUUGCGAAGGCAGCUUACUAAUCCAUCAUUGACGCUGAGGCACGAAAGCGUGGGGAUCAAACAGGAUUAGA
rnacentral:rRNA from 1 species